rnacentral:rRNA from 1 species
GACGAACGCUGGCGGCGUGCUUAACACAUGCAAGUCGAACGAAAAGAGGGAAAGAGCUUGCUCUUUCCGGAAUUGAGUGGCAAACGGGUGAGUAACACGUAAACAACCUGCCUUCAGGAUGGGGACAACAGACGGAAACGACUGCUAAUACCGAAUAAGUUCCAAGGGCCGCAUGGCCCAUGGAAGAAAAGGUGGCCUCUACCUGUAAGCUAUCGCCUGAAGAGGGGUUUGCGUCUGAUUAGCUGGUUGGAGGGGUAACGGCCCACCAAGGCGACGAUCAGUAGCCGGUCUGAGAGGAUGAACGGCCACACUGGAACUGAGACACGGUCCAGACUCCUACGGGAGGCAGCAGGGGGGAAUCUUCCGCAAUGGGCGAAAGCCUGACGGAGCAACGCCGCGUGAGGGAUGACGGCCUUCGGGUUGUAAAACUCUGUGAUCCGGGACGAAAAGGCAGAGUGCGAAGAACAAACUGCAUUGACGGUACCGGAAAAGCAAGCCACGGCUAACUACGUG